UUUUUUUUUUGGUAUUUCGUGUUCCAUAUCCAUAACUAAAGAUAGAGAACAACUUAGAACAGCAAAUAAAAUCUACUUAGUGAUAAAGCAAACAAGCACACACGAGAAUAUUCACCCCAUGAAGGAAAUAUGCCCUAGAGGCAAUAAUAAAGUUAUUAUUUAUUUCCUCAUAUCAUGAUAAAUGUUUAUUAUUCAUGCUAGAAUUGUAUUAACCGGAAACAUAAUACAUGUGUGAAUACAUAGACAAAACUUAACGUCACUAGUAUGCCUCUACUUGACUAGCUUGUUAAUCAAAGAUGGUUGUGUUUCCUAACCAUAGACAUGUGUUGUCAUUUAAUUAACGGGCUCACAUCAUUAGAAAAAUGAUGUGAUUGACAUGACCCAUUCCGUUAGCUUAGCACUUGAUCGUUUAGUAUGUUGCUAUUGCUUUCUUCAUGACUUAUACAAAGUUUCUAUAACUAUGAGAUUAUGCAACUCCCGUUUACCGGAGGAACACUUUGUGUGCCACCAAACGUCACAACGUAACUGGGUGAUUAUAAAGGAGCUCUACAGGUGUCUCCAAAGGUACAUGUUGAGUUGGCAUAUUUCGAGAUUAGGUUUUGUCACUCUGAUUGUCGGAGAGGUAUCUCUGGGCCCUCUCGGUAAUGCACAUCACUAUAAGCCUUGCAAGCAAUGUAGCUAAUGAGUUAUUUACGGAAUGAUGCAUUACGUAACGAGUAAAGAGACUUGCCGGUAACGAGAUUGAACUAGGUAUUGAAAAGCGACGAUCAAAUCUCGGGCAAGUAACAUACCGAUGACAAAGGGAACAACGUAUGUUGUUAUGCGGUUUGACCGAUAAAGAUCUUCGUAGAAUAUGUAGGAGCCAAUAUGAGGAUCCAGGUUCCGCUAUUUGUUAUUGACCGAAAACAGUUCUAGGUCAUGUCUACAUAGUUCUCAAACCCGUAGGGUCCGCAUGCUUAACGUUACGAUGACAGUUAUAUUAUGAGUUUAUAGUUUUUGAUGUACCGAAGGUUGUUCGGAGUCCCGGAUGUGAUCACGGACAUGACGAGGAGUCUCAAAAUGGUCGAGACAUGAAGAUUGAUAUAUUGGAAGCCUAUAUUUGGAUACCGGAAGUGUUCCGGGUGAUUUCGGAGAAAACCAGAGUGUUGGAGGGGUUACCGGAAUCCCCCGGGGAAGUAUUGGGCCUUAGUGGGCCUGAGGGGAGAGAGAGGGCAGCAGCCCAGGAGGUGGCGCGCCCCCUCGCAUGAGGAGUCCGAAUUGGACUAGGGGAGGGGGGCGCGGCCCCUCUUUCCCUCUCCCUCUCCCUCUCUUUCCUUCCCCCUUCCCUCUUCCUAGUUGGACUAGGAAAGGGGAGUCCUAGUCCUACUAGGAGGAGGACUCCCCCCUCCUUGGCGCGCCCCAAGGGCCGGCCGGCCUCCCCCCUUGCUCCUUUAUAUACGGGGGCAGGGGGCACCCCAGAGACACACAAGUUGAUCUUCAUGAUCGUUCCUUAGCCGUGUGCGGUGCCCCCCUCCACCAUAUUCCACCUCGGUCAUAUCAUUGCGGUGCUUAGGCAAAGCCCUGCGUCGGUAGAACAUCAUCAUCGUCACCAUGCCAUCGUGCUGACGGAACUCAUCCCCGACACCCUGCUGGAUCGGAGUCCGGGGAUCGUCAUCGAGCUGAACAUGUGCUGAACUCGGAGGUGCCGUGUGUUCGGUACUUGGAUCGGUCGAAUCGUGAAGACGUACGACUACAUCAACCGCGUUGUGCUAACGCUUCCGCUUUCGGUCUAUGAGGGUACAUGGACAACACUCUCCCCUCUCGUUGCUAUGCAUCACCAUGAUCCUUGUGUGUGCGUAGGAAUUUUUUUUGAAAUUACUACGUUCCCCAAUAGUGGCAUCAGAGCCAGGUUUUAUGCGUAGAUGUCAUAUGCACGAGUAGAACACAAGUGAGUUGUGGGCGAUACAAGUCAUACUGCUUACCAGCAUGUCAUACUUUGGUUCAGCGGUAUUGUGAGAUGAAGCGGCCCGGACCGACAUUACGCGUACGCUUACGCGAGACUGGUUUCACUGUUACGAGCACCCGUGCUUAAAGGUGACUGGCGGGUGUUUGUCUCUCUCACUUUAGUUGAAACGAGUGUGGCUACGCCCGGUCCUUGCGAAGGUUAAAACAGCACUAACUUGACAAACUAUCGUUGUGGUUUUGAUGCGUAGGUAAGAACGGUUCUUGCUCAGCCCGUAGUAGCCACGUAAAAUUUGCAACAACAAAGUAGAGGACGUCUAACUUGUUUUUGCAGGGCAUGUUGUGAUGUGAUAUGGUCAAGACGUGAUGCUAUAUUUUAUUGUAUGAGAUGAUCAUGUUUUGUAACUGAAGUUAUCGGCAACUAGCAGGAGCCAUAUGGUUGUCACUUUGUAUGAAAUGCAAACGCCCUGUAAUUGCUUUACUUUAUCACUAAGCGGUAGCGAUAGUCGUAGAAGCAAGAGAUGGCGUAAACGACAACGAUGCUACGAUGGAGAUCAAGGUGUCGCGCCAGUGACGAUGGUGAUCACGACGGUGCUUCGGAGAUGGAGAUCACAAGCACAAGAUGAUGAUGGCCAUAUCAUAUCACUUAUAUUGAUUGCAUGUGAUAUUUAUCCUUUAUGCAUCUUAUCUUGCUUUGAUUGACGGAAGCAUUUUAAGAUGAUCUCUCACUAAAUUAUCAAGAGGUGUUCUCCCUGAGUAUGCACCAUUGCGAAAGUUCUUCGUGCUGAGACACCACGUGAUGAUCGGGUGUGAUAGGCUCUACGUUCAAAUACAACGAGUGCAAAACAGUUGCACACGCAGAAUACUCAGGUUAAACUUGACAAGCCUAGCAUAUACAGAUAUGGCCUGGAACACGGAGACCGAAAGGUCGAACGUGAAUCAUAUAGUAGAUAUGAUCAACAUAGUGAUGUUCACCAUUGAAACUACUCCAUCUCACGUGAUGAUCGGACAUGGUUUAGUUGAUCUGGAUCACGUGAUCACUUAGAUGACUAUAGAGAUGUCUGUCUAAGUGGGAGUUCUUAAGUAAUAUGAUUAGUUGAACUUAAAUUUAUCAUGAACUUAGUAUCUGAUAGUAUUUUGCUUGUCUAUGUUUGCUAUAGGUAGAUGGCUCGUGCUGUUGUUCCGUUGAAUGCGUUCCUUGAGAAAGCUAAGUUGAAAGAUGAUGGUAGCAAUUACACGGACUGGGUCCGUAACCUGAGGAUUAUCCUCAUUGCUACACAGAAGAAUUACUUCCUGGAAGCACCGCUAGGUUCCAGGCCUGCUGCAGAUGCAACUGACGACGUUAAGAAUGUCUGACAGAGCAAAGAUGAUGACUACUCGAUAGUUCAGUGUGCCAUGCUUUACGGCUUGGAACCGGGUCUUCAACGACGUUUUGAACGUCAUGGAGCAUAUGAGAUGUUCCAGGAGUUGAAGUUAAUAUUUCAAGCAAAUGCCCAGAUUGAGAGAUAUGAAGUCUCCAAUAAGUUCUAUAGCUGUAAGAUGGAGGAGAAUAGUUCUGUUAGUGAACACAUACUCAAAAUGUCUGGGUAUAAUAAUCACUUAAUUCAACUGGGAGUUAAUCUUCCUGAUGAUAGUGUCAUUGACAGAAUUCUUCAAUCACUGCCACCAAGCUACAAAAUCUUAUUGAUGAACUAUAAUAUGCAAGGGAUGGACAAGACUAUUCCCGAGCUCUUCGCAAUGCUAAAGGCUGCGGAGGUAGAAAUCAAGAAGGAGCAUCAAGUGUUGAUGGUCAAUAAGACCACCAGUUUCAAGAAAAAGGGCAAAGGGAAGAAGGGGAACUUCAAGAAGAAUAGCAAACAAGUUACUGCUCAAGAGAAGAAACCCAAGUCUGGACCUAAGCCUGAGACUGAGUGCUUCUACUGCAAGCAGACUGGACACUCGAAGCGGAACUGCCCCAAGUAUUUGGCGGAUAAGAAGGAUGGCAAAGUGAACAAAGGUAUAUGUGAUAUACAUGUUAUUCAUGUGUACCUUACUAAUGCGCGCAGUAGCACCUGGGUAUUUGAUACUGAUUCUGUUGCUAAUAUUUGCAACUCGAAACAGGGACUACGGAUUAAGCGAAGAUUGGCUAAGGACGAGGUGACGAUGCGCGUGGGAAAUGGUUCCAAAGUCGAUGUGAUCGCGGUCGGCACGCUGCCUCUACAUCUACCAUCAGGAUUAGUUUUAGACCUAAAUAAUUGUUAUUUGGUGCCAGUGUUGAGCAUGAACAUUAUAUCUGGAUCUUGUUUGAUGCGAGACGGUUAUUCAUUUAAAUUAGAGAAUAAUGGUUGUUCUAUUUAUAUGUGUAAUAUCUUUCAUGGUCAUGCAUCCUUGAAGAGUGGUCUAUUUUUAUUGAAUCUCGAAAGUAGUGAUACACAUAUUCAUAAUGUUGAAGCCAAAAGAUGCAGAGUUGAUAAUGAUAGUGCAACUUAUUUGUGGCACUGCCGUUUAGGUCAUAUCGGUGUAAAGCGCAUGAAGAAACUCCAUACUGAUGGACUUUUAGAAUCACUUGAUUAUGAAUCACUUGGUACUUGCGAAUCGUGCCUCAUGGGCAAGAUGACUAAAAUGCCGUUCUCCGGAACUAUGGAGCAAGCAACUGAUUUAUUGGAAAUCAUACAUAUUGAUGUAUGUGGUCCAAUGAAUAUUGAAGCUCGUGGCGGGUAUCGUUAUUUUCUCACCUUCACAGAUGAUUUGAGCAGAUAUGGGUAUAUCUACUUGAUGAAACACAAGUCUGAAACAUUUGAAAAGUUCAAAGAAUUUCAGAGUGAAGUGGAAAAUCAUCGUAACAAGAAAAUAAAAUUUCUACGAUCUGAUCGUGGAGGAGAAUAUUUGAGUUACGAGUUUGGUCUACAUUUGAAACAAUGCAGAAUAGUUUCACAACUCACACCACCCGGAACACCACAACGAAAUGGUGUGUCCGAACGUCGUAAUCGUACUUUAUUAGAUAUGGUGCGAUCUAUGAUGUCUCUUACUGAUUUACCGCUAUCAUUUUGGGGUUAUGCUUUAGAGACGGCCGCAUUCACGUUAAAUAGGGCACCAUCAAAAUCAGUUGAGACGAUGCCUUAUGAACUGUGGUUUGGCAAGAAACCAAAGUUGUUAUUUCUUAAAGUUUGGGGCUGCGAUGCUUAUGUGAAGAAACUUCAACCAGAUAAGUUCGAACCCAAAUCGGAGAAAUGUGUCUUCAUAGGAUACCCAAAAGAGACUAUUGGGUACACCUUCUAUCACAGAUCUGAAGGCAAGAUUUUCGUUGCUAAAUUUGGAUCCUUUCUAGAGAAGGAGUUUCUCUCGAAAGAAGUGAGUGGGAGGAAAAUAUAACUUGAUGAGGUAAGUGUACCUGCUCCCUUGUUGGAAAGUAGUUCAUCACAAGAACUGGUUCCUGUGACAACUACACCAAUCAGUGAGGAAGCUAAUGAUAUUGAUCAUGAAACUUCAGAUCAAGUUACUACUGAACCUCGUAGGUCUACCAGAGUAAGAUCCACACCAGAGUGGUACGGUAAUCCUAUUCUGGAAGUCAUGUUACUUGACCAUGGCGAACCUACGAACUAUCAGGAAGCGAUGAUGAGCCCAGAUUCCGCAAAAUGGCUUGAAGCCAUGAAAUCUGAGAUGGGAUCCAUGUAUGUGAACAAAGUAUGGACUUUGGUUGACUUGCCCGAUAAUCAGCAAGCCAUCGAGAAUAAAUGGAUCUUCAAGAAGAAGACUGACGCUGAUGGUAAUGUAACUGUCUACAAAGCUCGACUUGUUGCGAAAGGUUUUCGACAAGUUCAAGGAGUUGACUACGAUAAGACUUUCUCACCGUAGCGAUGCUUAAGUCUAUCCGAAUCAUGUUAGCAAAUGCCACAUUUUAUGAUUAUGAAAUUUGGCAAAUGGAUGUUAAAACUACAUUCCUGAAUGGAUUUCUGGAAGAAGAGUUGUAUAUUAUGCAACCAGAAGGUUUUGUCGAUCCAAAAGGUGCUAACAAAGUGUGCAAGCUCCAGCGAUCCAUUUAUGGACUGGUGCAAGCAUCUCGGAGUUGGAAUAAACGCUUUGAUAGUGUGAUCAAAGCAUAUGGGUUUAUACAGACUUUUGGAGAAGCCUGUAUUUACAAGAAAGUGAGUGGGAGCUCUGUAGCAUUUCUUAUAUUAUAUGUAGAUGACAUAUUGUUAAUUGGAAAUGAUAUAGAAUUUCUGGAUAGCAUAAAGGGAUACUUGAAUAAAAGUUUUUCAAUGAAAGACCUCGGUGAAGCUGCUUACAUAUGCACAUCAAGAUCUAUAGAGAUAGAUCAAGACGCUUAAUUGGACUUUCACAAAGCACAUACCUUGAUAAAGUUUUGAAAAAGUUCAAAAUGGAUCAGGCAAAGAAAGGGUUCUUGCCUGUAUUACAAGGUGUGAAGUUGAGUCAGACUCAAUGCCCGACCACAGCAGAAGAUAGAGAGAAAAUGAAAGAUGUUUCCUAUGCUUCAGCCAUAGGCUCUAUCAUGUAUGCAAUGUUGUGUACCAGACCUGAUAUAUGCUUAGCAAUAAGUUUAGCGCGGAGGUACCAAAAUAAUCCAGGAGUGGAUCACUUGACAGCGGUCAAGAACAUCCUGAAAUACCUGAAAAGGACUAAGGAUAUAUUUCUCGUUUAUGGAGGUGACAAAGAGCUAGUCAUAAAUGGUUACGUCGAUGCAAGCUUUGACACUGAUCCGGACGAUUCUAAAUCGCAAACCGGAUACGUGUUUUUAUUAAACGGUGGAGCUGUAAGUUGGUGCAGUUCUAAACAAAGCUUCGUGGCGGGAUCUACAUGCAAAGUGGAGUACAUAGCUGCUUCAGAAGCAGCAAAUGAAGGAGUCUGGAUGAAGGAGUUCAUUUCCGAUCUAGGUGUCAUACCUAGUGCAUCGGGACCAAUGAAGAUCUUCUGUGACAAUAUUGGUGCAAUUGCCUUGGCAAAGGAAUCCAGAUUUCACAAGAGGACCAAGCAUAUCAAGAGACGCUUCAAUUCCAUCCGGGACCAGGUCCAAGUGGGAGACAUAGAGAUUUGCAAGAUACAUACGGAUCUGAAUGUUGCAGACCCGUUGACUAAACCUCUUCCACGAGCAAAACAUGAUCAGCACCAAGACUCCAUGGGUGUUAGAAUCAUUACUGUGUAAUCUAGAUUAUUGACUCUAGUACAAGUGGGAGACUGAAGGAAAUAUGCCCUAGAGGCAAUAAUAAAGUUAUUAUUUAUUUCCUCAUAUCAUGAUAAAUGUUUAUUAUUCAUGCUAGAAUUGUAUUAACCGGAAACAUAAUACAUGUGUGAAUACAUAGACAAAACUUAACGUCACUAGUAUGCCUAUACUUGACUAGCUUGUUAAUCAAAGAUGGUUGUGUUUCCUAACUGUCACGCCCAAUAUGCGACCCUAUCCAAAAGGAACUCGAAGGUCCCACCAAGGAUAGACCCGCAUAUUGAAACACUUUUGCAAGGUGGAUAUCAUUACAUCAACAUUACAUAAUAGAUGGGGAUACAUACAAGAGGCAUAUAAUGCCACACGAACACAACAUCAUCUUACAUAAGAUCAACAUCCGACUACAGAUGAAACACAAACAGAAGCUCAAACGACAUCGACCCUGCUAGCCCAGGCUGCCGACCUGGAACCUAUCCCCUGAUCGAAGAAGAAGCAGAAGAAGAACUCCAAACAAGCAGACAUCGCUCUCACGUCAUGAUCAUCGUAUAACUUGUACCUGCAAAUGUUGUUGUAGUAAUCUGUGAGACACGAGGACUCAGCAAUCCCAUUACCAUGGGUAUCAAGACUAGCAAAGCUUAAUGGGAAAGGAAGGGGUAAAGUGGUGAGGUUGCAGCAGCUGCUAAGCAAGUAUGGUGGCUAACAUACGCAAAUGAGAGCGAGAAGAGAAACAAAGAAAUGGUCGUGAAGCUAGCAAUGAUCAAGAGGUGAUCCUGAACUCCUACUUACGUCAAACAUAACCCAGAAACCGUGUUCACUUCCCGGACUCCGCCGAGAAGAGACCAUCACGGCUACACACGCGGUUGAUGCAUUUUAAUUCGGAUCUGGUGUCAAGUUAUCUACAACCGGACAUUAACAAAUUCCCAUCUCCCACAUAACCGCGGGCACGGCUCUCGAAAGUUUAUACCCUGUAGGGGUGUCCCAACUUAGCCCAUGAUAAGCUCCCGCAAUCAACAAAGGAUAUUCCUUCUCCCAGGAAGACCCGAUCAGCCUCGGAAUCCCGGUUUACAAGACAUUUCGACAAUGGUAAAACAAGACCAGCAAAGCCGCCCGAUGCGCCGACAAUCCCGAUAGGAGCUGCACAUAUCUCGUUCUGAGGGCAACACCGGAUAGGCCAGCCUACGAGUAAAACCAGACCUCGAGUUUCCCCGAGGGGGCCCCGCAGUCUGCCCGGUUCAGACCAGCACUUAGAGAAGCACUGGCCCGGCGGGGCUAAAAUAAAGAUGACCCUUGGGUUGCCCGACCCAAGGGAAGGGUAUAGGUGGUGGUGAGGCAAAUGGUAAAACCAAGGUUGGGCCUUGCUGGACAAGUUCUAUUCAAGGCGAACUGUCAGGGGGGGUCCCAUAAAUCACCCGACCGCGUUAGGAACGCAAAAAUCCGGGAACAUAACACCGGUAUGACGGAAACUAGGGCGGCAAGAGUGGAACAAAACACCAGGCAUAAGGCCGAGCCUUCCACCCUUUACCAAAUAUAUAUAUGCAUUAAUAAUAUAAAAGAUAUUGUGAUAUCCCAACAUAACCCUGUCCACCACGGAGCAAUCUUCAACUUCACCUGCAACUAGCAACGCUAUAAGAGGGGCUGAGCAAAGCGGUAACAUAGCCAGACAACGGUUUGCUAGGAAGGGUGUCAAAGGUUAGAGGUUCAUGGCAAUUUGGGAGGCUUGAAGAGCAAGUGAUAGGUGGCGCAGCAUAGCGAUAGAACGAAGCAACUAGCAUAGCAAUGAUAGUAGUGAGAUCCAGGGUAGCGGUCAUCUUGCCUGAAAUCCCGCAAGGAAGAAGAACGAGUCCAUGAAGAAGAUGAAGCCACGACAAUGAACCAAGCAUAGACGAACGAAUCCUCACGACCGCAACGAAACGGGAACUAUCGAGAAGAAGCACACAACAUGGUAAACACACCACACAUGAACAAGACAUGAUGCAUAACAAAGCAUGAUGCAUGACAAGGCUACAUGAAGCUACUCAUGGCAAGAGAUGAUGCAAACAAGAACAACACACCAAGGCAAGUUUAAAUGAGGCCGGAAACAACAUAUAACAAUUCCGGUAAGUCCUCAUAUGCAAAUUUCGAAAUUGGUCCAGAUCUGAAUAAACCUUAUGUUCAAGUUGUUAAACAGCAACUUAAGAUGCACCAAGAUGAUCUACAUGAGAUUCUAGUCAAGUUACAUAUAAAGUUCAUUAGAUUUGGAGCUACGGCCUAGAAGAUAUGAGCAAAACAAGUUAAACAUGGCAUUGAUGCAAAAUGCAUACAAACAUCAAGAAAACACACCAAAACAAGGAUGCAACAUGAUAAUAUGAAGCUACAUGCAAAAUCAAGCAAGUUUCAUAUAGAGCACACUCCAAACGGAGCAACGGUUCAACACAUACACUCUAUACAAGGCAUAACAACAAUGUCCAUAACAGCAACUAGGUAUCUUACAAGCAUCAAAACAACAUACUCUAGCACCCCAACAUAAGAACAAAAGCCAUGAGCAUGAUGUAUAGGUAAAGGACAACAAAACAUGAACACUGAGCUAUCUCCCGAAACUACCAGAACUUUCUCAAAAGGACAUGGGAAGAUUGCAAAUAAUAACAGUUUCAGACUUUGCAGAAAUAACAUCAGGUUGCAAUGUUGAGAGCUAUCGAAUAACAAGUUACAGGAACUUAACACGGAAAACAAAGGCAUGGCAUGAAUAUACUAAUUGCAUAGAACAAAAGUCCCUUACUGACCAUAAGCCAAAAAGGCAUAGAAAAUAUGAUGGCACCCAUGUAAACAUGGCAAGUUAUAUGACAUAUUCAUACAUGGCAGGAACAACAAUAAGUAGGCAUGUUGGUGAGCUUGAACCACUCACCACAGAGCAAUACAUAACAUGGCAAGGCAACACACAGUAAGAAGACAUGUUUGUGAAUCUAAGCAUGGCAAGAACAAGUUCAUAGAGUGCAUGGAUCACUAGAAAAGUACAUGGCCAAAACUGAACUUAAUGUUAACCAGUUGACAGCAACAUUAUUUAGCAACUUUGGAGCAAGAUUACAACAAGCUACAGUAGUCUACAAAUGCAACCAGGGGCAUGAAUGGAUAGAGCAAGACAUGUAUAACAAAACAUCCUUAGUGAACAUCUCCAAAAUAAUGCACGAAAUGACUUGUAGCAGCAGGUUAACAUAGCAACAAAAUAUAACAGAAUCUGUCAGGAAAACAGCAACAGCAAGUACCCUACUUAACAAGCUCAAUGCACUCACUACACAAGUCACAAAAAUACAUGGAUGGCACCACUGGAAAGAUGGCAUGGCAUGGAUCAAAACACAUGUAGAGAUCAACCUCAUAGGAUGCACACAUCAAACAUGGCAAAAAUGACAAAUGAGCAUGUUAUAACAGUUUCAGCAGAUUAACAUCAACAUGCACUCUUCCAACAGCAUUUCAGGCAUCAAGAUGAACUCAAAUGAAAAUGAUGCAAUGGAACGAAAUGAAUUACUCGUCGAGGCGAACAAUAUGACAUAUUACACGCACGAAACGGAGCAGUAUGUAGCAAGUUAUGAUGCGAUGAACAUGGCAUGAUUAUGCAAAAUAUUUCGGGACUUCUCUUGGAUCGGGGAAAAGUCAACUCGGCGCGGGGAUCGAGGAUGGCGGCGGAUCUGGCCGGAACUUCGCCGGAGAAGGAACAGACGGCGGUCGGAGCUCGGGGAGAGGGCGCCGGAGAAACGGGGCGGCGGAUCCGGCCGCGCGGGGGCGCGGAUCGGGCGGAUCCGGCGCGGGGCCCGCGACCGGGGCCAACUCNNNNNNNNNNNNNNNNNNNNNNNNNNNNNNNNNNNNNNNNNNNNNNNNNNNNNNNNNNNNNNNNNNNNNNNNNNNNNNNNNNNNNNNNNNNNNNNNNNNNNNNNNNNNNNNNNNNNNNNNNNNNNNNNNNNNNNNNNNNNNNNNNNNNNNNNNNNNNNNNNNNNNNNNNNNNNNNNNNNNNNNNNNNNNNNNNNNNNNNNNNNNNNNNNNNNNNNNNNNNNNNNNNNNNNNNNNNNNNNNNGGGCCCGGUCGCAGAGCGGGCGGGCCGGCCUCGGGGCCGGCGGGCCGGCGGCGCGGGGAGAGAGAGGAGGGACACGUGGCGGGCGGCCACUGGUCCGGGGCGGUGGCGCGGGACGUCCGGUGCCCGAAAAUUUCGGGGGAGGUCUAGAUUUAUAGGUAGGGGGAGCUAGGAGAGUCCAAAUGAGGAGCGGUUUUCGGCCACGCGAUCGUGAUCGAGCAACCGAGAGCAUGGAGGGGAGUUUGGUGGGUUUUGGGCCACUUUGAAUGGGUGUUGGGCUUCAAACAAAAUAGGCUUUUACGGUUACCCGGUUAACCGUUGGAGUAUUAAACGACCUCCAAAUGGCACGAAACUUGACAGGCGGUCUACCGGUGCUAUACCAAGGACGCUUGGCAAACCUUGGGCCAUUCCGAGAAAGUUUAACACCCGCUCACAAUGAGAGACAAAAAGGGGAACGCCGGAGGACAUAGGAGUGCCGGAUUGCAAAACGGACAACGGGGAAAAUGCUUGGAUGCGUGAGAUGAACACGUAUGCAAAAUGAGAUGCACAUGAUGACCUGAUAAAAUGCAACACGCAAGCAAAUGACAUGGCAACGACGGAGAAAAACUGGCGGACACCUGGCGCAUCGAAUCCGGGGCGUUACACUAACCAUAGACAUGUGUUGUCAUUUAAUUAACGGGAUCACAUCAUUAGGAGAAUGAUGUGAUUGACAUGACCCAUUCCGUUAGCUUAGCACUUGAUCAUUUAGUAUGUUGCUAUUGCUUUCUUCAUGACUUAUAAAAAGUUCCUAUAACUAUGAGAUUAUGCAACUCCCGUUUACUGGAGGAACACUUUGUGUGCUACCAAACGUCACAACGUAACUGGGUGAUUAUAAAGGAGCUCUACAGGUGUCUCCAAAGGUACAUGUUGAGUUGGCAUAUUUCGAGAUUAGGUUUUGUCACUCCGAUUGUUGAAGAGGUAUCUCUGGGCCCUCUCGGUAAUGCACAUCACUAUAAGUCUUGCAAGCAAUGUAGAUAAUGAGUUAGUUACAGAAUGAUGCAUUAUGUAACGAGUAAAGAGACUUGCCGGUAACGAGAUUGAACUAGGUAUUGGAUACCGAUGAUCGAAUCUCGGGCAAGUAACAUACCGAUGACAAAGGGAACAAUGUAUGUUGUUAUGCGGUUUGACCGAUAAAUAUCUUCGUAGAAUAUGUAGGAGCCAAUAUGAGCAUCCAGGUUCCGCUAUUGGUUAUUGACCGGAAAUAGUUCUAGGUCAUGUCUACAUAGUUCUCAAACCCGUAGGGUCCGCACGCUUAACGUUACGAUGGCAGUUAUAUUAUGAGUUUAUAGUUUUUGAUGUACCGAAGGUUGUUUGGAGUCCCGGAUGUGAUCACGGACAUGACGAGGAGUCUCGAAAUGGUUGAUAUAUGAAGAUUGAUAUAUUGGAAGCUUAUAUUUGGAUACGGGAAGUGUUCCGGGUGAUUUCGGAGAAAACCGGAGUGCCGGGGGGGUUACCGGAACCCCUCGGGAAGUAUUGGGCCUUAGUGGGCCUGAGGGGAGAGAGAGGGCAGCAGCCCAGGAGGUGGCGCGCCCCCUCCCAUGAGGAGUCCGAAUUGGACUAGGGGAGGGGGAGCGGUCCCUCUUUCCCUCUCCCUCUCCCUCUCUUUCCUUCCCCCUUCCCGUAAAGAUCAACAAUUAGAUGGGUCAAUUUUGGGAAGCCAACUCUAAGUACUUCCAAGCUAAAGCUACUCUCAAAUACAAGGUUAAUCACAUUGACAGCCUACAAGAUGAUACUGGCAAUAUACAUAGAGAUCAUAGCUCCAAGGCAAAUAUUCUGCUCAAUGCUUUCAAAGACAAACUGUGUACCUCUAUUCCAACUUUCAACAUGCUCGACCUUGAUGGUCUCAUCCACAAAUUUCCCAACUUGUCCAGCUUGGAAGAACCUUUCUCUAAAAGAGAAAUUGAUGAUGUGAUAAAAGAGCUUCCUUCAGACAAAGAACCUGGGCCAAAUGGUUUUAACACAUAUUUUGUCAAGCUCUGUUGGGGCAUUAUUGCUCCUGAUUUGUACUCCCUCCGGUCCUUUUUAGAUUGCGCAUAACACUAAGCCCAGAUACCAAGGAGGGGCAUCGAUGCAAAAACCUGGACACUUUUACCCCUGCGACAGCAUGCCCAGAUUUCCCGCUGUGUGAUAACUGCACCCCUUUGAUUGGCCGUUCUACUUUGACUCCUCGUGGAGCACGUCCCUGCAUGCACUUCCUGCAUGCCAAUUGGUCAUUGAUACGGACUAAUUAAGUGACCCAAAGGAAAGGGCAAUGGCAUAGAUGGAAAGUUGGCUCUGGAGGCCUAGUACGCAGACUAUUCAGGGAAAAUUUGGAAAAAUUUAUACGCAAACUAUUGAGGACCGGAGGGAGUAUGCUCUAAUUGAAGAUUUUUUUAUGGUAAAAUCAGCUUGCAAAGCAUUAAUUCUUCAUUCAUUACUCUAAUUCCAAAGGUGGAUGCUCCAGCAACUCCCAAUGACUACAGGACCAUCUCACUCUUGAAUUGUUCAAUCAAAAUCAUUACAAAAUUUCUUGCAAACAGAUUUCAUAAAGUCAUCUUGAAAUUGGUCCAUAAGAAUCAAUAUGGUUUCAUCAUGAAUAGAUCCAUUCAGGAUUGCCUGGCUUGGCAUAUGAAUAUAUCAAUCAGUGUCAAUCCUCUGGAGCAGAAACUAUCAUUUUAAAGCUGGAUUUCCAAAAGGCUUUUGACCUGAUUGAGCACAGUACUAUUAAGGAGAUACUUAUUGCUAGAGGUUUUGGUCCUAAAUGUAUGCUUUGGAUGGAUAUGAUCUUUACCUCUGGUUACUCUUCAAUCCUCCUCAAUGGAGUUCCAGGCAAACAAUUCCAAUGCAAAAGAGGGGUCAGACAAGGAGAUCCUCUAUCUCCUCUGUUAUUUGUCAUUGCUGCUGAUUUGUUGCAAUCAGUGAUGAAUGAAGCUUUGCACAAUCACCUCCUUCAAAGACCUCUGCAAGCUCAUCCCUGCCCUGACUUUCCAGUCAUUCAAUACGCCGAUGAUACAGUUAUCAUAAUGCCAGCUUGCACAAUUCAAGUGGAACAACUGAAGAACCUUCUUCUGCACUUCUCUGUUUAUAUAGGGCUAAGAAUAAAUUAUGAGAAAUCUGCUAUGAUUCCAAUCAACACCACUCCUGCCAAGAUGGAGAUUUUAGCAAAUGCUUUGGGUUGCAGCAUUGGUUCUUUCCCCUUCACAUAUCUUGGGUUUCCCCUUAGCUUAUCUAAGCCCAAACUCGAAGAUUUUGUGCCAGUAAUCAAGAGAAUUGACAGGAGAUUAGCUGGAUGCUCAACAUUGCUAUCUUAUGGAGAUGAACUCACAUUAAUCAAAUCAGUUUUCACCAGUCUGCCUACUUUCUUCAUGUGUACUCUCAUGUUACCUGCCAUCAUGGUGGAACAAAUCAAUAAAUAUCUGAGAAAUUGUUUCUGGAGAAAGUAUGGAAUGGAAGACAAAGGUUCUGCUCUGAUUUCAUGGGACAAAGUAUGUCUACCUAAAGACCAAGGGGGGCUUGGAGUUCUGCAAAUUGCAAUACAUAACAAGUGUCUGCUUAUGAAACAUCUCCACAAAUUUCUUCACCACUUUGAUCUUCCAUGGGUGCAUCUAAUCCGGGAAUCCUACUACCCCCAAGGAAUUAUUUCUGCCAGACCAGUUGGAUCUUUCUGGUGGAAAAACAUUCUCAAGCUACUACCGCAAUUUAAAUGUUUCACCAAAGGUAUUAUUGGUCAAGGCAACACUAUUUCACUCUGGGAGGACAAUUGGGGUAUUGGUUCUCUUAUGCAGAAAUACCCAGAGCUAUACUCUUUCUCCAGCAAGACAAAUUUGACAAUGAGGGAUUAUUUGCUAAGUGACAACACUCUGGAAUUUUUCCACACCCCUCUUUCUGCACAAGCACAUCAACAGUAGUUGGAGCUACAAGCCACUACUCAGGACAUGCAAGUGAGGGACAACAUGGACCAAUGGAUUUACCCUUGGGGAUCUGAAUACUCCUCCAUCAAGAUGUACAAGUUAAUGACUCAAGGUGAGAAGGCCCCCCUCCGUUCACUAAAAUCUGGAAGAAUGCCACCAUGCUCAGAUACAAGAUCUUUUUCUGGAUGCUCAUGCAUGACAAAACCAACACCAGAAAUCUUCUUCAAAGGAAAUCAUUCCAUUUGCCUUCAUAUAACUAUGAGCUUUGUGAUGCUAACACUGAAGAAACUGCUCUACACUUGUUCUGGGACUACAACUUUGCCUUAAAUUGUUGGGAUUUGCUUUUGGGAUCAAGACAAAGAGGAAUUUCUGUCCAUGAUGAAGUGUUGCUACUCCUUCAGGCUCUUUCAAAGUCCAUUGCUAUGGAAAUCGUAAUUUUGGGAUGCUGGAACAUCUGGAUGCAGAGAAAUGGGAAAAUUUUCCAAGCUAAACCCUUCUCACUUCAGUCAUGGAAAAUCAGUUUGAGAGUUGAUCUACUAUUACUCAAACACAGAGCUAAUUUCAAGCACUCUGACCUGCUUUCAAGUUGGAUUGACCAAGUCCUACGAUAAUUAUAUCUCCCAAUAAUAGGUUUUGAAAGAGCUGGGAUUGGAUAAUUUGUUGUAAUCCUCUUUGUUUUUUAUACUCUUUCACUUGUACAUGUUUGUCGGAUUUUGGGUUCUGGCGAACCCUUGAGAGGUUCGAACUCUCGGGUGCGCAGGAAGAACAAUCUCUCCCCAGCGCGCUCGCUAAACGAUCCCACGGCCUAGCUCGACGAACCCAAAGAACAAGAGACACAUGGGUUUAUACUGGUUCGGGCCACCUUGUGGUGUAAUACCCUACUCCAGUUUGUGGUGGAUUGCCUCGAGGGGCUGAGGAUGAACUAGUAUAGUGGAUGAACAGCCUCAGGAGGUGAGGUGUUCUUGAGCUUGAUGAGCUGGUGGGUGCGAGGGUGAUUUGAAUGAUCCUUCUUCCUUACUAGUUGUCGUCCCUUUUUCCCCGUGAUGGUGGUGGCUAAGUUCUAUUUAUAGUGGCCUUGGUCCCCUUCCCAAAUGUUAUGCGGGAAGGGAUCCCACAACGGCCAAGUUUGAAGGGGGACAACUAGUACAAGCUAUCCUCACAAAAGGUGGUCUUCGCCUACCAAAGGCUCUAGUGGUGACACUGCUGUGGGCUCCGCGAUGACCUCCAUUCUGUCGUCCUGUUGGUCUUGGUCUUGUUGCACUGACAUGGAAACCUUUGCCUGAUUUCUCGGGACUCCUCGCCUGCGCUUGCCCCCUAAGCACCAAAGAGGGAACUGGUACUCUGCGCCCGCUGGCGCCCGCCUGGCCUUGAUCGUCAUGACUCACGUCAUGUGAACCUCGCGAGGUGCAUCUUGCAUAGAUAUCUCCGUUCCUCGGAAGCCAGCCUAGUGAGGCUGCCCUCAGGGAGGUCUUGGUGUCGUCAGCCUCGCGAGGCUUGGCCCCUCGCGAGGGUCUUGAGCUGUUGCUGCCGAAGCUGGGUCGUACCAAGCCGUUGGUGGAGCCACGCCUCGGGCCGCAGGCAGGCAAGUUUGGGCACCUCCUGUCCCAAAACGCCGACAACGAUUGUUCUACGGGUUUUGGUUCAAAAAAAUCAUUGCACAAUGAUAACUUAUCAUCUCCCAAAACUCUAUCAAGCUGAGCGUUGAUAUUUCUAUCCCCUUGCUGUCUAUUGUCCCACUAGAUGAUCAGUUGCGUCAUUGGCGCAAAACCAACUGCAGCCACAGAGUAAAGCAACACUGAGGCCGGUGUCUACUCCAACUAUAAUGUUAGCCUAUGCGAUGGUAUGCCAAACAAACAUUAAAUUUUGGUGGCAUACCACAAGAGGGUCCACCGCACCGGGAGGAAACCAAGCGAAGUUGCAGGCUGUCAAGAUGACAUCUGUGUGGGGUUGUGAGGGCUUGGACAACAUGAUGCAUGCCUCGGCACGACACAGUGCUUUUAUCAGGCUUUGCCUGCCCGUACCCACACCAAGCAACACUCGGGUAUGUUAUCUAUCUGAUCCGCUUACUAUGGGCAGCAAAAAAAUUUGUUUGGCUAACUUUUCGACUGCAUUUGUUUUUUGUCCCUUUGUGGAUCAUUAGGCAUCAUGAUGACCACGACAGUGUGGGCUCGAUCUAUCAGAAACAAUGUAUCCCUGGUCAGCUAUGGUAUCCACGAAAGGGAAGUACAUAGGAGACACACACACACACACACACACACAUGCACUCGUUGUUCUUGCCGAAGCUCUCUUUUACACUUUCGCAUGGUUAUGGCUCGGCCACAAGGGUUUCGGUUUGGCCAGAGACCUAAUCACCCUUGCUAGUCGGACAUGCCAUGGUCAAAUGUGCCUGGUCUGAACAAUAUGUCAUUAGCGUGAUCAUCGAUACGUACCCCGGACCUUACUCCGUGCAAGAGUCCCUCUAUUUUUUAAGUUGGGUAUGAUCUCUUUUGGCCUUUCACCCCCGCGGACUAGCCGACUGGCGUGUAUGCUGCACGUGUUUGCUGAUUGCACUCUUCCCUGGCCUGUCGAUCAUCUGGUCAUUUCCUCUGCUUUCAUUAUGGUCAGGAGGGUCGGUUGGCGUCUAACAAGCUCACUUACUACACUCUUCCUUGGGAAGGGCCUUUCCAGCAUCCUCUUCUCCAGCCGCCAUGGCCGUAACAAAGAGCAGAAGGACCAAAAGAGAAGAAACAAGAUCGGGCUUAUUCAAAAGAGGAGGAACCCUACCAAUGUACAUGUCACAAGAUUCACCCACUGCCGCCCAUCGUGGCCACCGAAGGCAGGGUGCGCUAAGGAAGUUGAAGGAACAAGAAAACGGCACAAGGGCAAUUCAAGGAACAAGAAACAACACAGAGACUAGUCGCCGCAGAUGCAAGUCCGGAGCCCGGAGCUCGGCUCGUGUCACGAGAGGAAUAGAGGGGAAGGUGCCUGUUUGAAUGAGGAUCUUUGUAGACUAGUAAAUGUGCACAUGCAACGCACGUGUAGCCAUGUGCAAAAAAAAAAGAAAUCAGUAAUCAAAAUGAAGGUUUACACAAUAUUCCAUCAUCAAACAAGUCAUUAAGCAAAUCUCAACAUUCAACAACCGAACGAAAAGGCUAGGAAUCCAAGGGCUUAAAAUUCUUUAGUUUCACACUUCUUAUUUGUUUGAGACCUUUAUAUGCCUAGUCCAAUUGAUCCAUCUUAGAGGGAGGGGGACUGUUGAAUUGGGGGUAUCGUUAACUUCAUAAGUACUCCCUCUGUGAAAAAAUACAAAAAUGUUUAUAUCACUAAAGUAGUGAUCUAUACACUCUUAUAUUUCUGAUCUAAACGCUCGAAAUACAAUAAUGUUUAUAUCAUUAAAGUAGUGAUCUAAACUAAAAUAGUGAUCUAAACGCUCUUAUAUUUCUUUACAGAGUAUCGAACCUUCUCAAACAAAAAUACCACAUCCGGACAAGCCCGGGGCUAUUUUGUUGAAUCGUUCGUGAUUCAAACAGAAUGGACACGUUUCAUAUGAUGAUUCAACCAUUAACAAGAAAGCAAAUAACUAUGGACAUACUGCACCAUUAGCUUAGCUAGCACACUACACUAUCGAGUGACUGAAAUUGACAGUGUAUAUUGCAGAGUAACCGAAAUUGACAGUGUAUAUUGCAGAGUAACCGAAAUUGACAGUGUAUAUCGCAUCCAACAGUACCCUCGAGUUACAAGAUUGGUUGCACAUUCCACCAUUAACAGCAACCAAAUAAGGUUCAGCUAGCAAGAACACAUAGUUCCAUCGUGCUUCCUUCAACAACCGCCGGUGCAGAAAGCAUAAUAUCCAUGUAGAGACAGGUUUACUGUUUAUUUCUUAGUACAAACUACAUUACUGUGAGCUCAACAAGUCAGAUUCAC
rnacentral:lncRNA from 1 species